UCUCUUCCACCGCCAUAUCUCCCUCUUUGUCUCCUUCAAGCUGAUGCCAUCACCAAGCUCGACUCAUCGAACGACGUCUGCACGUCGACGAAACCCAGCCAACUCCUUGCAUCUCUCUUUCGUGCGUCGGCCAUGAUGCACUUUAGUCACGAUGUGACUCGCCGACGCCAAAUCACCCGCCGUCGAGUAGCCCAACUCACCGAACGACAAUUAUCCCACGUCGAACCCUUCACAGGUCACGCAAAAUUGAAGUUCUUGGGUCGAUCUAAGUUAUAGGAUUUGAAUAUUAGAAGAUUUUACGCCGCUGACUAGCCCUUCGAAAACUAGAAAUUGCGUGUUUUGGCACAACUUGGGUAAUAUUUUAAGUCUUUGAAGUUGUUCUUGAGUACCCAUCUAAUUCUAAUGAUAACUUUGAUAA